UCCUACCUACCGCACUAAUGGGAGCGCUGGAUGGGGGGCCUUUAAUGGGCUCAUUUGUUUGGAUGCCCCCAUCGGUUAGAUAUUUUCUAGGCCACAAAAAAAAGGUUGGUCGCAAAAUUAGAGAAGGUUGAGGCGGGCGUCUGGCAUGGAGGCGGAGGCAAAGGCGACCUGGGCGGCGGCGCCUGGCUCGGGAGCGGCGACUGCCGACGGGGGCUUCCCUGUAGAUCCGGUGUGCAGCGAAGGUUGCCAAUCUUCCCAGGCGUGGCGGUCUCGGCGGGUUCGGUCCAAGAUGAAGUCAGCGAUGGUGCUGGCUGGAGGAGACGUUGGGUUGUUGCCUCUUCUGUGGCUGCCCAUGACAGCUGUGCCGCCGGCGCUGCCGAAUGCAGUGGAGAGAGCGCCCCAGCGGAGUCGGGAGAGUCAGCUGUGAAACCUGAUCCGAAAUCUGUAGGCUGGAUAAGAAGGGUACGAGUGGGCGCAAAUCCGAUAGAGCGUAUGCCUUGCCCUGGCAGGAUGGGAGCGCUUGAGAAGACUAUCAGGGGCUUCGUGGACAGGGAGGGUGAUGAAGUAGUCAAGCCAGAGUUAGGGACCACUUUCGAUUCCCUGACAGAGGCUUAUGAUUUUUACAAUAUGUAUUCGUGGGAACAUGGCUUCGGCAUUAGAUACGGAAAAACCAGGCUAAAUCCUGAUAAGAGGAAGACCAUGUAGGAGAUUGUGUGCGGAUGCUCGGGGAAACCCCUUCGAGAAAAUACAAGAUCGUGUAGGUGCAAGUGCCCUGCAAUGAUUAGGCUGUCGAGGACAUCGGACAACGUGUGGUACAUCAUAGAGCAUCGUGUCAAGCAUAAUCAUGUCAUGACGCCAAAUUGUGGUGAAAUGUUGCACUGGCCGUCACACAAGCACAUUGACGUGCACACGAGAGACCUUGUUCGUAACCUAAGGAAGAACAACAUCAACCUGAGCAAGGUGUACAACAUAAUUGGAGGGUUCUUUGGGACAGUGGAGAAUGUGCCCUUUACGAAAAGAUCUCUUCGGAGCCUGUGUGGGCAAAUUAGCAGGGACGAGGCAGAGGACGACGUGAGGAAUACAAGUUUUCGAUGAACUAGGUGCAAAGGACCCGGCUAAAUGGCCCAACUCCGCGAUGGACAGCCCUCUUAAACACCGUAACGGGAGGACCGUACUGGACCUUGCCCCCCUGGGCCUCAUCAAUGACUACAGACAACACACUCAUGCACUGUUCAAAAAAGCCUGCACUAAUCGAAUACAUGGGCCAAUACAUUCAUGAGCUCGAAUCUCCAGGAGGACCAACCGCUGGGAUAAUAGUACCAUAUGCCAGUACGACCCAUAUGUAAUUUUCGUAUUUGUUGACAUAUAAACAAACUAUUGAGACGAUAACGUUCUAAAAGCAUGUAGUCAAACUUUUGUAAGAUUAGUGCUCUAACCAGCU